rnacentral:lncRNA from 1 species
GAUGUCCAUCAAUUCAUAAUUGGCCACUCAGAUGAAGUGGAACAGUGGAAAACGGGCAAUGUUGUGAACAAUUUAAUUUGUGUUCUUUAAUGUGCUCCAUUGAAGCCAUAGUGAUUUCAGCUGUGUGCAAUGUAUUGAGUGUACAAUACUAACAUUAAUUGGAUUUGUAUAGGAGUUGAAGGAUGAAGUAUUUUAUGUGAUGCAUGUUUGUAAAGUAUCUGUCAUGAUGCGUAUUGUUGAAAUGAACGGAAUUAUUUAUCGUAA